rnacentral:rRNA from 1 species
GACGAACGCUGGCGGCGUGCUUAAUACAUGCAAGUCUACGAUUUUUAAAGUAGCAAUAUUUUAAAGAGAGUGGCGCACGGGUGAGUAACACGUAGGUAAUCUGCCUUUAGGUCUGACACAACUCGUCGAAAGACGGGCUAAUAUCAGAUAAUGCAGCGAUCCGGCAUCGGGUUGUUGUCAAAGCUUCGGCGCCCAAAGAUGAGCCUGCGGUCCCAUUAGGUAGUUGGCGGAGUAACGGCCCACCAAGCCAACGAUGGAUAGCUGGUCUGAGAGGAUGAUCAGCCACACUGGAACUGAGACACGGUCCAGACUCCUACGGGAGGCAGCAGUAGGGAAUAUUGGGCAAUGGGCGCAAGCCUGACCCAGCGACGCCGCGUGGGGGAAGAAGUCUUUCGGG